GGGUGGCGAGUGGCGGACGGGUGAGGAAUACAUCGGAAUCUACUUUGUCGUGGGGGAUAACGCAGGGAAACUUGCGCUAAUACCGCAUACGACCUACGGGUGAAAGCCGGGGACCUUCGGGCCUGGCGCGAUUGAAUGAGCCGAUGUCGGAUUAGAUAGUUGGGCGGGGUAAAGGCCCACCAAGGGAGACGAUCCGUAGUUGGUCUGAGAGGAUGAUCAGCCACACUGGAACUGAGACACGGUCCAGACUCCUAUGGGAGGCAGCAGUGGGGAUAUAUUGUACAAUGGGCGCAAGCCUGAUCCAGCCAUACCGCGUGGGUGAAGAAGGCCUUGGCGUUGUAAAGCCCUUUUGUUGGGAAAGAAAA
rnacentral:rRNA from 1 species